AUCAAUCAGCCAAAGAACGCCGAGGAUUAAGUUGUUUUUCAUUUGUUGUUUUUCAUUAACCAUGGGUGUGACAUGGCUUUGUAGGUAUGAGCACGUAUCUUAAAAAGCCCACUUGGCCCUUAAUUUUGAUCAAGAAGCAAAUAUGUAUCACAGGAAGCGGGAGUCUCAGUGAUCGAAAGUCUCAAUGAACAGUUUGAUUUACUAUGUAGAGGGUGGCCCUCAUUUUAGGCUUUGAUUCACGCAGAAAGAAGAAGGAUCUAUGUGAAGCCUCCUGAUGAUUGUGCUCCUGAAAUUAGUCUACUCUGCAGAUAGUGGCGUCCAUGGCAGCAACAGGCUGACAGCAUGAUGUAGCCGAACGAGACCAUGUUGACAGUAGAGAAAAAACUACGUUAUCCUUUAAUUUUC
rnacentral:sRNA from 1 species